rnacentral:rRNA from 1 species
GAUCAUGGCUCAGGAUAAACGCUGGCGGCGUGCUUAACACAUGCAAGUCGAACGGAGUAAUUCUCCCGAAGAUUGAAGAAGCUUGCUCUGAAAGAUUCAUUGAAUUACUUAGUGGCGGACGGGUGAGUAACGCGUGGGAAACCUGCCCUAUACUGGGGGAUAGCAGUUGGAAACGACUGAUAAUACCGCAUAAGCGCACAGCUUCGCAUGAAGCAGUGUGAAAAACUCCGGUGGUAUAGGAUGGUCCCGCGUCUGAUUAGCUAGUUGGUGAGGUAACGGCCCACCAAGGCAACGAUCAGUAGCCGGCCUGAGAGGGUGUACGGCCACAUUGGGACUGAGACACGGCCCAAACUCCUACGGGAGGCAGCAGUGGGGAAUAUUGGACAAUGGGGGAAACCCUGAUCCAAGCGACGCCGCGUGAACGAAGAAGUAUUUCGGUAUGUAAAGUUCUAUCAGCAGGGAAGAUAAUGACGGUACCUGACUAAGAAGCACCGGCUAAAUACGUGCCAGCAGCAGC